rnacentral:lncRNA from 1 species
AUGUAAAAAAAUAAAUUAAUAGGGUAUAUCCAUACAAACACCAAUAUAGGUCCACUUACAAAACUAUUUUUAAGGUUUAGAUUAAAAGGUUUAGACCUCCCAAUACCCAAUUUCAUUAAGGCGGGCACAUUUUUUCGAGUUCGAACAGGAUACACGAAUUCUCAGGACCGGCCCUACUAAGCAGGCUAUGUGUACCUCAAAAAGAAAGACUGAAAGAGUCAUGAGGCUUAGUUAUGUGUCUUAGAAGUAUUAGGUAAUGUAUAGAGUAGAAUCUUAACAUGGUAUUUGUGAACUAAGUUGCGAUAUUGAAAAAGAUGUCAUUUAUAUUGUUGAAAGAAAAAUUAUAAAAGGUAGGGUGAUGGCAAAGUGGUAUCAAAGACACAGGGCCGUUCCAACGUUUUUGUAGAUCCUAAGCGGACUACGAAGUGGGGGCCCUUUUGCAAAACAUAUAGAGAUUAAUAGAAAAAUUAGCUGCUAAAGUUAACCUAUGUUUAGUAAUUAGCCCUAAUUUUGCCCAUAAAUUCUCCUCCAAUCCCGACAGACCCGACGCCAUGAGUGAUAACCGUUAGUGAUAGCCGAUAACCUAGAAAUUCGAAAGAGUAGGUUGCGAUAGGAGGUAGGAAUGAUUCACGGAAUUCGGAUGAGGUCGAGUGGUAGAUGGUUGCUACAGACUACAAUUAUGUCUGUGGUUUAAUUUCGAAACUGGGCCUUUUUUCCUAAACAAUUUUUAUCUGUGUAACUUUAUUAAAAAAACAUGGUUUAGUUUUGCUUUUUAUUUGAGUCUGAUACAUACACAAUAUAUAAAACUUUAUUAAAAAUUAGAGGCCCUUGAUUUUUGGUGGCCCUAGGCCCGUGCCUAGAUUGGUAAGCCUAACGGGCCGACCCUGCAAAGACAUCCAAUUUAUAAAGUAGAAGAGAAAUUUGUAUGAUUCUAAGCAUCAAAACUAGUAUCAUGUUGAGACUAGUUCAUUUUUUAAUAAAAGUAAAUUGUGAUGUGAAAGUGUUUAGGCAGAAAGAUUAGUGUAUUACUAUUUACUAAGAGGCUGUUUGGUAGCCUCUGAAUGGUCAUUAAGAGGCUAUAUCUUAAUGGAACCAUUAAGAAUUUUACAAUGAGAAGGCAGAAGAAUGUGACAUGUGAUGAUUUACCAUUCAGAGGUUACCUCUUAACCAUUCAGACUUGAGGUUACCUCUUAUUCAUUCAGAGGUUUUCAACCAUUAAGAGGUAGCAUCUGAAUGGUCAUUAAGAGGCUACCAAACAGCCCCUAAGUGAGAAUGUGAUAACCCUUGAAAGAUUAUGUAGGGGGAAUCAGACGCUUACCAUCGGUGCAACACCCCUUUAAAGUUAGUGUGUUGGUUAAAUGAAGCUUUUGGUCGGGCUUGUAUCACUUUGGCCCGUGUUUAUGUACUCUUUGAAGUUUUUUAUAUUUUUAAAGGUACCAGACGCAGAUUGAUUCAAAUGUUGAUCAUGAAUCUUUGGGUACCCUGGAAGUGAUAUACGUUGGUAGCAGAAUAAUAAAGCUUUUACUUCACUAAACAUAGGAACUUCAAUACAUACGAGUGUUAAAAAUAAGGUUAUUGGAUUUUAUCACCUUUAACUAUUGGCCAUUGGCCGUUGCCACCCCCAAUUAUCACUUUGACGUCUGCCACCCUCAACUUAACACUGAGUGUGUUCUGUCACCAGAUCACUAACUUUUGAUCAUGUUACUAUACUUUUGGGGGUGUCCUAAGAUCCCUAAAACCUUCUCAAGAUCCCUAUGACACCCUAAAAAGUGUAGUAACAUGAUCAAUAGUUAGUGAUCAGUUAACGGCGUAAUGACAUAACACACUAAGUGUUAAGUUAGAGGUGACGGGCGUCAAAAUGAUAGUUGGGGAUGAUAAAAUCUAAUAACCCUUAAAAAUAAAAGCAUAGAGGUUGCGUGAGAAACACAUUCGAAAACAUAUUGAGGAGUUAAAAAAUAUAGAUACAACUUUAAUGUGUUGAUGCUUUUAAAAUCUAAGGUAAACUACGAGGCAUGGGUCAUACAUAAUAUUAGUCUAGUCUUAUUAGAGGUGGCAAAAUGGGUGGGUUGAGUAGGUUUAGGUAUGGGUUAGAAUGGGUUUAUUAAGAAAUGGGUUAGAAUGGGUUUAGGUCACAAUAGGUUUCGGUUAUGAUAGACUAAAAAUUAAAAAAAAAAAACAGAAAAAUUUAAAAAAAAAAUCAGAAAAAUUUUAAAAA